rnacentral:lncRNA from 1 species
ACAUCUGGAGAGGACUCCUUCAAUGGAACAGAAGAAUUCAACAAAGUGACACAUCCGUGUUCAAAUUAGCCACAGACACUGCGAUGUGACAGCCGCUGCUUUCUUCCAAGUAUCAGAAGCAAUGCUGGGGGUUUGAAGCAAUUAGAACAAUUUCCUUCCUGGGAAUGGGUUGCCAGGGAUGAUACCCAGAACUUCGUGCAUGUUAGGAGAAGCUCUACCCCGGCUUACACCUCCAGUUCUCUGAAUUCUAUAAGUCAGAUGUCUGGGCAACAUGUGACUUCAAUCUUCCCUCGGCACCAGUGGAUGUUACACAGAGGUGCCACAUACAUGGGCCAUGCCACCUCUGCCUGUGUUGGGUGCUUUGACAAGAUUACAGGUUAAUACUGUGAGGCUUUCUAAGAGCUCAUGCCCUCUCCAGCCCACAUUCUUGGGCUAACAUGGCUUUUCAAAUUGCAAUGACUUUCCCAAUCCUAUGGAGUUCCACCUCACUGCUCCCCCAACAUUGUGAAAGAACUGAAAGACACACAGUAAUUAAAUGCCAUAAAUAAUCAAGGGCAC